GACUGGAUGGCUGGAGGGUUCAAGCAGCCAGAGAGAAGCAGUGCAUAGUGGAAACUGUGACUAGUAUGAGAAGUGAUACAUCUGUGCCAGAGAGCCAGCGGUUGAGAGCUGCCCAAAAGAACCCGGAGCAAAGAUAACACGAGUGUCCUUGGAGACAGCGUUUUUGAGGAGGGCUCCAUCACCCAGGCUUUCCUUCCCAUAAGGCUCCCAUGUGUGGGGAGAGAUGGCUAGUUUGCAGGGCUGGGAGUGGGAGGGAGGGGUAAGAGAGGUACAGCUGGAGGAGGCUUCACGGAAAGACUGUGGAAAUGUGGAAAGCAGGGAAAUGAAGAGGGACACGUCACUCGUUGCAAACUGAAAUGCAGAAGGGGUGGUAAGGGGAAGAAAGGAUCAAGGAGGCAGAGAUUUGGAAGCUUCAUCACAGAAGAACUGGCCUCAAGAGCAAAGGGAAGCGUUUCCAUCCAAGGAUGUGAGAGAGUUCUCCCUGCUUGUCCAUCCGUGUUCUACCCUGAUGGUACUUUCCAGUGCAACUCUGCAAAAGAGCAGAAGACAUAUUUGAAUCGCCUGGGGAUCUGAUUCCUGUUACAGAUGACCCUGCAGACUUUUUCAGCUAGGAACUUCAUUAGUGAAUAUCCACUUGCUGUCUACAAUUCCACCUAAGAGAGGGAAGACUGCUCAUUUUCAGUGUGCCUGAGGGACAGGGGAAGUCAAGGUCCUACAACAGUCAUCAUGGUGACUCUUCCUCUUUUCCUCCUCUUCAUCCUUUUGCCCUGCAGUAAAUCUCAAGAGGACUUUCUGGACCAGCCUCAGAAGUGGAACUACAGAGAAGGCGCUGACAAGGUCAACAUAGAAGGUGUUUACAGCAUUACUCAAACCCUUGAAAAAUGGGGAAACGACAUCUUCUGGCAAAUGAAGCAUACCCUGCUGAACAACCCACAUGCUCUCCUGCCUGAGUUCUCCAGUCUCCGCCCUGUCUCUGCAGCUGUGGACAACCUUGUGAGGGAAGUCCAGUCAAUAAGGAAAAGGCUGGAAGAAUUGAAUGAACGUCUCAAUGUCAUCAGCAAAACUGUCCUUCCCCUUCGACUGAAUGCUCUGCAGAGCCAGAGGCGUGGAAAUACUCAGCUGCGGAGACUCCCGACACACAGGAGAAGGUUAUAUGCUCGCAGGAGACCUCAGAGCACUUAAUUCUCUACCAGAAAAAAAGGGGAAAUCAUUACUUUUUUUUCAUCUGCUUAAGUCUUUCUCAAUGGGACACUGCUAGAGAGAAAAAAAGUAAAGCACACACACAAGUCAGCUUUGCUAAGGAGACCAGAACUUCUGUAUUUUGUUGCUGCCUUUCAAACCUAGGUCAGUAGGUGAAACCUGACCCUGUUUUUUAAUGAUGGCUGUUUUGUGUCUCAAGCAAAAAAGAGUUGACAAGCUCAGUGUACUUGAGUGUGAAUACCUUUAGUCUAUACAGGCAUUCUUUCUGCUUACCAGAGGAAGGUCAUUUUAUAAAGAUCAGGUGAAUUUCUCUCUCUGCCCUAUUUUUAAACCACUCCAUCUGAAACAGCUGGGGAAUCUGAACUUCAAAAGUGCUGAACAACUGAUGAAUGCAGAAAGAUGGAUUAGUGCUUGGCACUUCCAGCUGGGCAGGGAAAGGGAGAGGAAGUUAUGUUUCAAAAUACAGCCUUAAUCUAUUGCCCAUGUUCAUAUGUUCAGAGGGUGGGUAGGGCUGGAUAACAUUGGUCUGUACAUCAUGCUUCAACAAUGAAGACAUAUCAGUUGCUAGGGACCAAAUUUGAACAUCCACCUUCUGCAAAGACUGUUUUUCUAGCUACCUGUAUCUGUGCACUCAGAAUGGUGUUAUUCAGUAGAUAUAUUCAGGAUUUCCAGCACUCUGAAACACACUGAACUGAUUUUUGCCAAGUCCCAUGAAAACCAGGAGAUUUUUGUUUGGGUUUUUUUUUCCCCCCCAAAACUAUUUAGAUAUCCAAUGUCAAAGAUAGGUAUCUGGAAGGAUUUUCCAAAAUAGCUUAAGAGACUCUUCAGUCCCCAAAAUCACAGAUAAUAUUUCAACUGGUGUCUAGUUCACAGAGUAUUUUCUCCAAAUGCCAGCACUGACCUCUAGACAUUUUCCAACCUCCUUUAGCACAAUUAAUAUCUGUAGAAAAUUAACAACCGGGCUCUCCAAAGACUUUGGUCCCUCAGGGAUUACCCAGAAUACUUUGCCUUCAGCUUGUCUUUGCCUAUGUCUUCCUGACAAUAAAGCUGGUUAUAAAAAAGAGUGCAUUAAUCAAAUUAUACACAGAAUGGAGGAUAGAGUGCACUUGCCCUUCAGGUCUCUAAAGAUUGAUCCAAUACAUAGAUUUCCAUUCAGCAUUGCAGUCAACUGUGUCAAUGAAAUGUGUUGAAACAUAAGAAGGAGAGCCAGAAAGGAGAAGAAACAGGUUGUCUUUAAGGUCUGGAUGAAGCAAUUUAUGAGAACACAAAUAAAGAAUGGAUUGUGUCUAAAUGAUUGUGGAGGUGUCUGACAUGACAGUUGUUUUGAAAACACUCUCAAGUCACAGUGAGGAUGCAGACUAGCUAUUUAAGGAUUCCCAAAGCCUGAGUUUAUGGAAAGAAAUUCAGUGACAGUACAAUAACCUCGAAAAGGAAAGGGGGGAAAAAACUAGUUUCAUAUGUAACCUUUCAGAGUGGACCAGAAGAAUUAACACAGUAAGAAUUUUAGCUGCAACCUGGGAGUUAGUUGAGUGGGGGAGCUAUUGACAGUGUAUGAGACAAUCUGAUAAAUAUUCCCCUGAUGUAAAUUCUCUGAGUUCAGGUUUUCA